GAAGGCCCAGACAGCCAGGAUGUUGGCUUAGAAGCAGCCAUCAUUUAAAGAAAGCGUAAUAGCUCACUGGUCGAGUCGGCCUGCGCGGAAGAUGUAACGGGGCUAAACCAUGCACCGAAGCUGCGGCAGCGAACGUAUCACCCAAGACAACUUUACGGAGUUGACGAUUGACGGAGCGAAGCGACGUCAAAGCGUUCAUUAAAGUCGAGUUGGCUUAGGGAUACGUUCGUUGGGUAGGGGAGCGUUCUGUAAGCCUGUGAAGGUGUGUCGUGAGGCAUGCUGGAGGUAUCAGAAGUGCGAAUGCUGACAUAAGUAACGAUAAAGCGGGUGAAAAGCCCGCUCGCCGGAAGACCAAGGGUUCCUGUCCAACGUUAAUCGGGGCAGGGUGAGUCGACCCCUAAGGCGAGGCCGAAAGGCGUAGUCGAUGGGAAACGGGUUAAUAUUCCCGUACUUGGUGUUACUGCGAAGGGGGGACGGAGAAGGCUAUGUUGGCCGGGCGACGGUUGUCCCGGUUUAAGCGUGUAGGUGUGUGUUCCAGGUAAAUCCGGUUCACUUUAACACUGAGGCGUGAUGACGAGGCACUACGGUGCUGAAGCAACAAAUGCCCUGCUUCCAGGAAAAGCCUCUAAGCAUCAGGUAACAUCAAAUCGUACCCCAAACCGACACAGGUGGUCAGGUAGAGAAUACCAAGGCGCUUGAGAGAACUCGGGUGAAGGAACUAGGCAAAAUGGUGCCGUAACUUCGGGAGAAGGCACGCUGACACGUAGGUGAAGUGAUUUACUCACGGAGCUGAAGUCAGUCGAAGAUACCAGCUGGCUGCAACUGUUUAUUAAAAACACAGCACUGUGCAAACACGAAAGUGGACGUAUACGGUGUGACGCCUGCCCGGUGCCGGAAGGUUAAUUGAUGGGGUCAGCGCAAGCGAAGCUCCUGAUCGAAGCCCCGGUAAACGGCGGCCGUAACUAUAACGGUCCUAAGGUAGCGAAAUUCCUUGUCGGGUAAGUUCCGACCUGCACGAAUGGCGUAAUGAUGGCCAGGCUGUCUCCACCCGAGACUCAGUGAAAUUGAACUCGCUGUGAAGAUGCAGUGUACCCGCGGCAAGACGGAAAGACCCCG
rnacentral:rRNA from 1 species